ACGAGAGCUCCCCCCCACAGCAGCACCCAAACACGGGGGGCCAACGAGGAGCCCCCCAACCCCCACUGCAGCUCCCACAGCCCUCCACCCCCACCGCCAGGAGCGGGAAGCCUUCUUCACCCUGCUGGAUGAUGACGUGGUGCAGGAGUUCCUGGCUACAGAUGUGUGUUGCAGGGUGUCCGAUAAGUACCUGCUGGCGAUGGCGCUGACGUACUUCAAGCGGGCUGGCUUGCCCACCAGCGAGUACACCCGCCUCAACCUCUUCACCGCCCUGUACUUAGCGAACGACAUGGAGGAGGAUGAGGAGGAGCACAAGUACCGCAUCUUCCCCCUGGGCGCUCGGCCACCGCUGGCACCGGCUCUUUCCCCCGCUUCCUCCGACGCCGCGACCACCUCUGGGCCCGCAUGAGUUACCGAGCGGCCGUCAGCC